GGAAUUCGAUUAACGCGAAGAACCUUACCUGGGUUUGAACUGCUGGGGACCGCACUCAGAGAUGAGGUCUUCCAUUCGGGGACUCCAGUAGAGGUGCAUGACAUUGGCAUGUCGUCAGCUCGUGCCCGUGAGGUGUUUGGGUUAAGUCCCGCAACGAGCGCAACACCUUGCCACUUAGUUGCCAGCAGGGUAAUGCCGGGGACUCUAAGGGGACUGCCAGGUGAUAAACCGGAGGAAGGUGGGGAUGACAGUCAAGUCAUCAUGGCCCAUUAUGGGCAGGGCUAACACGUGCUACAAUGGGCAGGUACAAAGGGUUGCCAACCCGCGAGGGGGAGCUAAUCCCACAAAGCCGUUCGUAGUCCGGAUUGCAGUNUGCACUCGACUGAUGAAGUCGGAAUCGCUAGUAAUCGCAGAUCAGCAGUGCUGCCAGGU
rnacentral:rRNA from 1 species